rnacentral:rRNA from 1 species
UACGUAGGGGCCAAGCGUUGUCCGGAUUUAUUGGGCGUAAAGGGUGCGCAGGCGGCACGAAAAGUCUGUUGCGAAAGCUCCCGGCUCAACUGGGAGAGGUCAGCAGAUACUAUCGAGCUAGAGGAUGGCAGAGGAAGGUGGAAUUUCCGGUGUAGCGGUGGAAUGCGUAGAUAUCGGAAGGAACAUCAGUGGCGAAGGCGACCUUCUGGGCCAUUUCUGACGCUGAGGCACGAGAGCGUGGGUAGCAAAC